AGUGAUAAUGGCAAGCAUGUCCUUUACACCCACAAGAGCAUCACUGUCAAAUACAAUAAAGAUCAGAUUAUCCAUGUCAAUCUUACACAAGAUGGUCCCAAGCCCUUAGAAGCCGGUAGAAUAUAUGACUUGACAUAUUCUGUUAAAUGGAUUUCAACUAAUAUCACUUUUGCUCGUCGUUUUGAUGUGUAUUUGGACUACCCUUU
rnacentral:misc_RNA from 1 species